rnacentral:rRNA from 1 species
CCUACGGGAGGCAGCAGUGAGGAAUAUUGGUCAAUGGACGAGAGUCUGAACCAGCCAAGUAGCGUGAAGGAUGACUGCCCUAUGGGUUGUAAACUUCUUUUAUAAAGGAAUAAAACGAGGCACGUGUGCCUUUUUGCAUGUACUUUAUGAAUAAGGAUCGGCUAACUCCGUGCCAGCAGCCGCGGUAAUACGGAGGAGCCGAGCGUUAUCCGGAUUUAGUGGGUUUAAAGGGAGCGUAGAUGGGUUGUUAAGUCAGUUGUGAAAGUUUGCGGCUCAACCGUAAAAUUGCAAUUGAUACUGGCAGUCUUGAGUACAGUUGAGGUAGGCGGAAUUCGUGGUGUAGCGGUGAAAUGCUUAGAUAUCACGAAGAACCCCGAUUGCGAAGGCAGCUUACUAAACUGUGACUGACAUUGAUGCUCGAAAGUGUGGGUAUCAAACAGGAUUAGAUAUCCCGGUAGUC